UUUCCGUAGGUGAACCUGCGGAAGGAUCAUUAUUGUAUAACCGAGGUGCGAGGGCUGUCGCUGACCCGAAAGGUCGUGCACGCCCGAGUGCCCUCACACACAUCCAUCUCACCCCUAUGUGCACCACCGCGUGGGUCCCCCUUUGGCUUGUUCGGAGGGGGGCUUACGUUUUCACACAAACUUUGUAUGCAGUGUAGAAUGUAUUUUUUGUUUUUGCGAUCACGCAAUCAAUACAACUUUCAACAACGGAUCUCUUGGCUCUUGCAUCGAUGAAGGACGCAGC
rnacentral:misc_RNA from 1 species